AAUAUGGGAAUGAUGUUCUCCCCGGGUCAACCCAAACCGCUUAUCCAGCUGAUGACGUCUGCAUUU
rnacentral:ncRNA from 1 species